rnacentral:rRNA from 1 species
CGGACGGGUGAGUAACGCGUGGAUAACCUACCUAUAAGACUGGGAUAACUUCGGGAAACCGGAGCUAAUACCGGAUAAUAUUUUGAACCGCAUGGUUCAAAAGUGAAAGACGGUCUUGCUGUCACUUAUAGAUGGAUCCGCGCUGCAUUAGCUAGUUGGUAAGGUAACGGCUUACCAAGGCAACGAUGCAUAGCCGACCUGAGAGGGUGAUCGGCCACACUGGAACUGAGACACGGUCCAG